rnacentral:rRNA from 1 species
GCAAGUCGAACGGUAACAGGAAGAAGCUUGCUUCUUUGCUGACGAGUGGCGGACGGGUGAGUAAUGUCUGGGAAACUGCCUGAUGGAGGGGGAUAACUACUGGAAACGGUAGCUAAUACCGCAUAACGUCGCAAGACCAAAGAGGGGGACCUUCGGGCCUCUUGCCAUCGGAUGUGCCCAGAUGGGAUUAGCUUGUUGGUGGGGUAACGGCUCACCAAGGCGACGAUCCCUAGCUGGUCUGAGAGGAUGACCAGCCACACUGGAACUGAGACACGGUCCAGACUCCUACGGGAGGCAGCAGUGGGGAAUAUUGCACAAUGGGCGCAAGCCUGAUGCAGCCAUGCCGCGUGUAUG